CCUCGGUAAUCUGUUGCGGACAAAUAUAAUGCACAUGUGCAUCCACCGCUCCAGCAGUCACAAUCAAGCCUUCCCCUGCAACGACCUCCGUCUUUCCACCAAUAAUCAUUCCAUCAGUCACGCCCUCCAUGCUAUCUGGAUUUCCAGCCUUGCCAAGGCCAGUUAUUUUGCCUUCUUUGACGCCGAUAUCGGCUUUGUAGAUACCUGAGUGAUCGAUAAUGAGUGCAGAAGUGAUGACGAGAUCCAAGGCAUCCAAGAGGGAGCCAUUAUUAGGAGAGGAUGAUUGACCCAUUCCGUCGCGG
rfam:Sphaerobolus stellatus SS14 unplaced genomic scaffold SPHSTscaffold_13, whole genome shotgun sequence.